rnacentral:lncRNA from 1 species
CUAGUCUCUAUGUAAAAAACAAAUUGGUCAUUUUCUACUUGGACAUCCCAGAAUAGAAAGUACAUUGAAGUAUUUAAAAAUAAAGGGAUAGACUUGGGGUUAAGGGAGAUGUCAUAGAACAGCUAUCCUGGGUUAGUUCAAGUGUAGUCCUAUUCCAUGCUAGGCAAAGUCAAGGUUACAAAAAUCCCAGUUGCAUCAGGUUUCCAUUUUUUUAUCAUUAUUUCCCUAUACAAUGAUACAAGUUAAAAAAAAGUCGGUAAAUACUUUUGGCCAUCAAUUUUCAAGAUUUCAUUGGUGAUAUUAAGGAAAUGCUGUAAGUAGGUAACACAUAAUGUCAUAUUUGUGUGCUGUAGAAGUAUCUUGGAAAAUAUGGACUUUAAAACCUCAAUAUAUGGGUUUGCAAUCGAACAUACAUUCACCCCCAAAUUUGACCUUUUUCAGCUAGUUAUUUUCUCAUAUAAAGUUACUAUACUUACACCAUUAUCUUUAAUCCCUGAAAUUUCAAUUAUACUAGAAAUCAAGAUUCUUCAUUUUUACUCACGAAACUGACACUAAGUAUAUACCUCAUUAAGGACAAGAAGCUAUGAAUUCUCUGGACUUCAGUUAUCUCACAGAAAAGAGCUUGAUUGAAUAAUGUCUAAGGCUCUUCCUGACAUAGUCUAAAUAACAGAAGGUGUCUCACAAGAAAUGGAAGCAGUGAGAGAAAAAUGCAAUUAAAUCCUAGACUAGAAAGAAUCACAAUUUUCCCACUCACAGGUUGGAAAUGCCUCUCUAUUCUAUCACAAUUUUGAAAACCUCCAUAGUUUUACUAGCUUUGCCUUUCUCCCUUGCUAUCAUCUUCUGAGGUACAGACAGUCCUUUCCAUUUUUAUUCCUCUCCCACUCUGAUAAUUUUUUUCUUUGACAGAAGUCCCACUUUAUCAUUAAUGAUGACAAUAACUAAAGCUGCCAGGAACAGCACAUCUGCUGAGCUUUAUCAACACCAGAUUCUCUCAUUUUGCCUUCUGGAUCUCCAUGCUUUUUUAUACCAACAAACAAGAGGAAGAAUAUUCUCUACCCACUUCCUUGACUGAAGCCUGCUCUUUUAUGAAGACAUGGCAUCUCUUCCAACAGUGUCAAACAGAUGCAAUUUAUGUGUCUGCUGCUUCCAUACCCUGAUUAAAUGGAUCACCACGUUUACUGUGAUGAACAACUGCCCUUCCUGAUCCAGGACCCAUGCAGCAGAGCAUUACUGAAGAAAUUCACACCCUCAGGCAGUUAGCUGUCCCUGUAAAGUUAUAGUCACCAGGUUCUCAUGAUCUCACCACACAGACUGUUACUUAUAAGCUCCCUCUCUUAUUACACCCUAUGAAUAUUUUGUAACUUUUCUUUGAUCAUUAAAAAUGCUUCUCC